AUGGACUCCAGGGAAUUCCUUGGGAGGGGUCCCUACCACGCGUGGACCAAACGGGAGUUGUGCAACGCCGCUGACUUCCACCUUGUUGUCUGCGAUCCGCUGUCCCGCGGGUUUGUGCUCCUUCCAACAAUACCCGAAGACCUCGCCGCCCUGCCACAAGACCGCCUUCGGGCAUUCGAGCCCGUGCUUGCUCCCGCAACCGGCGACGAGCCCUUCGAGGUGAUAUGUGUGGCAAGAUACGAGACAAAGCUCGUCAUCUUUGUGUUCCCGUCCACAACUAUGCAAUGGUGUAUGGUUGAGUCCCCUGUCGUCCCUUCUUGGCACGUCAUGUCCUGUUUUGACUGCGUGGGAAACUGCUUCUACUGGACAGACCGUUAUCACUGGACUAACCAUUUGAUGGUGCUGGACACACGUACUUUGAGGUUUUCAACCGUCAAUUUUCCCACUGGCUACCAUUUGGAGCUCAGAGGUGCUGACCUGAGCAUUGGUCAUGAUUGGCGUCCGAAUGCAGUUGUUGUGGGUAGAGAAGGAGCCAUUGAGAUGUUUUCUCUUGUCUCUCAGCAUAGAUCCUUUGCUCUCCAUCAUACCUCUCUGCAGGAUAAUACUAAUGAAUGGAAGCUGGAGAAGAUCGUAUAGCUAGCUGGGCAGGGUCAUGGCUAUUCCAUUUCCACAGUGGGUGCGGCCGAGGGAUUCUUGUUCUUCCAAGGCGUUCCUGCCGGCCAUGAGCUUGAGAAUUUUGAUUAUUAUUCAAUGGAGGUCAAAACAUAUGAGAUUACCACGGAUCCUUUUCUGACCCAACAAAAAACAUGCCAGCUACGUGCAUGUGUGUGUAUCGUACGACUCACUUGGCAUCAACCCAACAGAAAAUGA
rnacentral:rRNA from 1 species